AGUGAACGCUGGCGGUAGGCCUAACACAUGCAAGUCGAACGGCAGCACAGUAAGAGCUUGCUCUUACGGGUGGCGAGUGGCGGACGGGUGAGGAAUACAUCGGAAUCUACUUUUUCGUGGGGGAUAACGUAGGGAAACUUACGCUAAUACCGCAUACGACCUACGGGUGAAAGCAGGGGAUCUUCGGACCUUGCGCGAUUGAAUGAGCCGAUGUCGGAUUAGCUAGUUGGCGGGGUAAAGGACCACCAAGGCGACGAUCCGUAGCUGGUCUUAGAGGAUGAUCAGCCACACUGGAGCUGAGACACGGUCCAGACUCCUAAGAGAGGCACCAGCGGGGAAUAUUUGACAAUGGGCGCAAGCCUGAUCCAGCCAUACCGCGUCUGUGAAGAAGGCCUUCGGGUUGUAAAGCCCUUUUGUUGGGAAAGAAAAGCAGCAGGUUAAUACCCCGCUGUUCUGACGGUACCCAAAGAAUAAGCACCGGCUAACUUCGUG
rnacentral:rRNA from 1 species